rnacentral:lncRNA from 1 species
UCCAAGCAUGCAAUAUUUGCUUCGUGAACUACAUCCUUAUAGUGCUUCCAAUUUGAAUCAAAUGCCAAGUUCAUGAGAACAUAGUGAGAUCUAGCUUUCCCACAAUCAAAACGGCCUCUCAAUGUCAUCUCAUCCACUCUACAUCCAUACUUCCACAUUGCACGGUCAACUAAAUCAGUUGGAGGACCAUCGAAGAAUUCAACUAACUCAUUCAUAUUCUCU